rnacentral:rRNA from 1 species
GACGAACGCUGGCGGCGUGCCUAAUACAUGCAAGUAGAACGCUGAAGGAGGAGCUUGCUCUUCUGGAUGAGUUGCGAACGGGUGAGUAACGCGUAGGUAACCUGCCUGGUAGCGGGGGAUAACUAUUGGAAACGAUAGCUAAUACCGCAUAAGAGUAGAUGUUGCAGGACAUUUGCUUAAAAGGUGCAAUUGCAUCACUACCAGAUGGACCUGCGUUGUAUUAGCUAGUUGGUGGGGUAACGGCUCACCAAGGCGACGAUACAUAGCCGACCUGAGAGGGUGAUCGGCCACACUGGGACUGAGACACGGCCCAGACUCCUACGGGAGGCAGCAGUAGGGAAUCUUCGGCAAUGGACGGAAGUCUGACCGAGCAACGCCGCGUGAGUGAAGAAGGUUUUCGGAUCGUAAAGCUCUGUUGUAAGAGAAGAACGAGUGUGAGAGUGGAAAGUUCACACUGUGACGGUAUCUUACCAGAAAGGGACGGCUAACUACGUG